GCGAAAACUUUACAAUGCUGGCAACAGCGAUAAGGGAACCUCGAGUGCCAGGUUACAAAUCUGGCUGUCGAGAUGCCUAAAAAGCAUUUCAUAGCAAGGGCCGGGCAAGACCGGUGCCAGCCGCCGCGGUAACACCGGCGGCUCGAGUGGUAACCGUUAUUAUUGGGUCUAAAGGGUCUGUAGCCGGCCGGAUAAGUCUCUUGAGAAAUCUGGCAGCUUAACUGUCAGGCUUUCAGGAGAUACUGUCUGGCUCGAGGCCGGGAGAGGUGAGAGGUACUUCAGGGGUAGGGGUGAAAUCUUGUAAUCCUGGAAGGACGAACAGUGGCGAGGGCGUAUGACCAGAACGGACCUGACGGCAAGGGACGAAAGCUAGGGGCACGAACC
rnacentral:rRNA from 1 species